UCCAAUGGCGACCGCACGACGUCGACCUCCCGGAUGGCGUGAGGUCCCAGCGGCAACGUCAGGCCCCUUGCGGUUGGGGUCGAUUUGAGGUGGCUCCGGUGGAAACAUGGACCACGUCACACUGUUACAGGGGCUCCCGAGGCGACAUCCAGUUGCUCCGUGCGCGGGGAUUAUUUUCACCUCUGUUUACUUUUGCGUUUAUUUUGCAGGCCAAAAACAGGUGAGCGAAUCGGGAUUCAGCCGUGCGAGAUUUUUUGUGAUGAUGUUGCUCCAUGUUCUUUUUGUGAUUCAGGUGUUCGUUUUGCACAUGUUCAUAGUGGGCAACCUCGAGGUCAUCGUCACUUCGAGCGCGGCGAGAUCCUCGAGGUCGUCAUCAUCACAGACAAGGGCACUGGCAGAUCCAAUGGCGGCGGAUUCGAGGCGGAGGCGGCCAUUAGGGCGUGCUUCAGUCCGUACCCGAUGAUUGGCGGCCGGAGGGCAACUGCAACCUCGCAUGCCUCGGGUCCAGAGGUCCAAGGCACCACAACCAACUGCCUCUUCAGCCAUAUGCUGGGUGUCCGUGUUGAACGUAGCAGAUGGUUGCCCUUCAAGCAUCAACAAAUUGGAAAUUUCAAGCCCUGAUGAGAUUACAAGCAGGGCAGAAAGGGAAUCAACACCAUCACGCCAAAACAUUGAAGGUGAAUAAGUGAACCAUUAUUUAAGUAAAUAGACGAAUCAUAUUUUGUUAGAACUAACCAGUUGCUGCUAAUAUAAUCCUCUCCAGGAAGAUCAGUUUCAGACAAUAUAAUCUGCUAUUUACUUUCUAAUUUCUAUGUAUUUAAGCAUGUUCAAACUCAGUACAAUUGUACAAAUGGAUAUAUUUUGAUUUGGUGACUUGCUAAAGACGAUUGUUCUGGACAGAACCUGGACCUUAUGAUAUCUACCUAUAUAUAUGUUUCUGGCCGCAUGUCUACUUAUUCUCUUAAGGCCACAGUAGGACCGAUCGACACUAGAUAUAUCUAAUAACUGUAUCAUGGUUUUCGCAAAAAAAAUUAAAAAAUAACUAUCAUGGGAUCACAUGCCAUUCUUUUUGCUGAAAAAUCACCUGGCUUUAUUGGAAAUGAAUUACCAGGACAGAUCCUGUGCACAUUAUGCUUGGCUAACACCUUUCAUUUAUCACAAACUGAUGGGGAAUAAACACUAAGUAUGCAUGUCUUUCUAUCCUUCUGAUCAUAGCCAUCUUUGGUGUCAAGUGAUAUUAAAAUUCUGAAACUACACACACAUAGUUUAGGGGUUGUCCAUACAAUAAUCUGCAUAAGUAUGUGUCUAUAAAAUCAGCAGCAGUGGUUGUUCCUUUAGGUUGCUAGAAAUGCUUUUAGCUACAACAUUAUUUCUGUCAAAAACAUUCCAGCUGCCACAUGUGUACUCGUUUCAUUGUGUAGCGUAUUUCCGAAAAUGAUAAUUCCUACGAUUCAAAGUUUUUGGACAAAGUUUGAAACUCGAAGGACGACUGCCGUAGUAGGACGAAGAAAUGAUGUCGCGCACUGGAGGGUGUUGCCGUCGGUCGUGCGUUAGGCGUCUGUUCUACUGAAAGUCGCUCCCAGGAGGGCGUCCAUGGUCUAUGCCUCGAGAAGCAAAGAAGGGACUCCAACUACAUCAUUGACACAGCAGCCGAGCAGAGCAUGAAAGCAUGUCGUUGAUACAAAUAUUCAGUUGCCACGGCCAUUGAUACAACAGCGGGGCAGAUCAUGAAUGUCAGAGACACGGUGGAGGUGACGCUACCUUUCUCGUCUUGGCAUCAUGCAGAUACUGGUAGUUUAGAUGUUAUUUGCCACACCGCGGAGAUCUCAUGUUCAAGCCCAUCGGAAGUGCAUAAUUUUGGUGAAGGUCGAUGUAAAUGAUUUUACUUGAGCUGACACUUCUCCUCCGGUCUCAUUUACCAUCAGUAUUGGAAUUGGAUGUCGUUCCUAUUACACAACAAAAUGGGCAAGGUUAGGUUGCGGUUCAGUGUGGCAUUCUGGCAUAUGUUUCGGGGUACUGGAGGAGAUCCUUUUGGUGCACCUACAAAGAACUGGCCUUGGGAGGAUGGCACAAAUUCCCUGGCCAUGGCUAAGAGAAGAAGUAUGGGAAUUACCUGAUCUUGUGUCUUAGGUCCAUGGCUGGAAUCAACAACUUAUGCUUCGAUUUCUGUUUCGGUGAUAUCUCAAUUCGAGUUCAUGAAGAAGCUUGGAGUUGACAGGUGGUGCUUCCAUGACAGGGACAUCGCCCCUGAUGGGAAAACACUCGCGGUAUGAUUUUAUUAGAAUGAUUCUUGAAGUUGCAAGUUGCAACCUCGAGUUAGGGGAAUUGAGACGGGUAGUGACCGACAUUAGAGCAGGUUUAUUAUGAUUGUAUUUACAAGGGUACAUGACUAUGUUUUCAGCACAAGGAAUAUGGUUAUUGAUGGUUUACGCCCCGGCUGCGCCCACAUCGUCCCGACACCAAGUUCAAGACCAAGUUCUAACCCCUGUACCCAAUCUACCUCCAUGGAUCGUGUCUCUCACUACCCAAGAGCAUCAAUUCAACUCAACAGAUUGACAAAAGAGAUGAACCUAGAGUUUGAGGCUUGGGUAGUGUGGACAUUGACCUGAUGAUGAGUGUUGUAUGGUGGUCAAGUGGUGCCACUUCCCCUCGCCACACGCUGCUUAGUCUGCUCAUUGAAGGUGCUCUCUGUUGGUGUUUGGCUGCUGCUGCUGCUGUAGGUCAAGGGCAUGCUAUGAUUACUUUGGUGGAGACAUAUUUAAGAAUGGUGUUAUCACUGAAUGCCCUUGAUGUCUGCCAAGAAGAAGGGAGCAAGCGGCAGAAGAUUAUGAUAUUGCUGCUAUUGGGAGAUGCAGUAAAAUAUGGACAAGUUCCUGUAUUUUAUGGAAGGUGUAGUAUUGAAGCUUCUUGCACUGAUCUAGAAUGGAUCUUGACUUCGCCCAAGAGUGAGAUGUGAAAGCGCAUGUUACAUAAGAAAUCAUUAUCUCUGAAGCAUACUCACAUUGGACCAAGAACUAGGCGAGGUUCAGACUUCAGAGAAAUGAUAACAAGUCUCCUUUUCAUUCGAGCGGGGCGAUGAGGGAAAGAACUGAUUGUGGUGAAAGUCAGUUUAGUGCAUCAAGGAUUGGAGGUUCUGAGAUUUGCAAGAGGUGAUGGAGGAUGUUUAGUUACUUUGGCUCCUGAUAGAGUACUGGAAGAUGGGUACAAGCAUAAGCUUAUUCAAAAUCUGAAGUUCCUGACUGCAUGAGACAUGUACUCCCUCUGUUCCUAAAUAUAAUUCCUUUUAGAGAUUCCACUAUAGAGACUAGAUUCGGAUGUAUAUAGACGCCUUUUAGAGUAUAUGUUCGCUCAUUUUGCUCUGUAUGUAGUCUAUAGUGAAAUCUCCAAAAGACUUAUAUUUAGGAACGGAUGGAGUAUUUUGUAAUCUUUUUUUCUUCUUCUUUUUCAUUUUCUUCUACUUAUUUUCAGUUUGAACGAACGGAGGGAACAACAUGAAGAUGGGUAGCACUAUACAGUUUUAUAGCAGUAACAUUUUGCGAGCUUCUUAAAUUUGGUAUCUAUGAAUAGUUGAUUUGUUCGUUUUGAUUUAUAGCCUUGUAGAUGUUCACCUCUCUGCCAGAUUUCCAUAAUGGAAUGUCGUCCGGUGUAUUCGAUGGGCAGCUCAGCUUGCACGUGAAUUGGACGUGGCAAAGCUUAUCUUGGAGCAGACUCAAAAACAGUGGCGGCUAAAUUAAGAAGCUCGGAAAUUGAUAGAUCAAUCUAUGGCCUAUUGCUGAGGAGGUAAAGGAGUGCAUGCCAUCAAGAGAGGAGUUUCAGGGUGGUAUGGGUGAGAUGCUUGACUAAUGGAGCUUCUCUUUGGCUAACUAAAGAGGAUUGUGCGAAUAAG